GUUCUUAGUUCGGCAGAACAUAUACUAUAACUGGAAAGAUACAGAGAAGAUUAGCAUGAGCCGUGCGCAAAGAUGAAACGCGAAAAGGACACAAUUAGUCGCUUGGU